GAUAAGAAAGACUGUCUCCAGCGGUGCCUAACAAUCAAUCAAUCAAUGAUUCAAUCAAUGAAUGAAUCAAUCGCAGCUAAGUGAAGUACGAUCAUCCGGGAUCCGGAUUCGCGGAUCCUGUAUGUUCGACGGAGAUUGACUGUUCUUCGCAUGACUGUUGGGACUGCGUUUGACGGUGGAGUAAGCUGCAGCUGCCGCUACAGACAAAGCGAACAGAAUGACUGAACUCAA